rnacentral:lncRNA from 1 species
AGGUGGUGUGCCCAAGGCCCAGGGGACCAAGGCUAAGGCCAAGGUCCAUCAUUCAUGAGGGCUUCAUGGAGGCUCUAGGGCUAGUUGGGCCCUAGGUUGAAAGGCUGUGGGCCUUUCGGGUUCUUGAGGUCUAGGUUAUGUGGGCCUCAAGGGACCAACUCUUUAUGGGUCAGGUCUAGGCCCAGGAUAGGUGAGAUUAGUUCGAGUCAUGGAUGUACAUAGGCUUAGGUUAACCUAAUCUCCCAUAGAGUUGGUCAAGGGAGUUUUGGGUUUGGGUCACUUGACCCUGUGUUUAUAUAUACAUGUACUGUAUAUAGGUUGAAUUAAAAGCCAAGAAAAUACAAGACUCUUUCUCCCAAGUCUCUCUCUCUCUUCUCCCUCUCUCUCCAGCAAUUCUCCAUGCCCCAGGAGCAAGAAACCCUAGGGUUUCUUGCCGCCAGUCCAUAAAAGGAAAGAGAAGAAGGGGAGGUGCUAGCCCUCUCCCCCUUGCAGCCGCCUACCAGAUCUGCUCUCCCCCUCUUGCAAGCAUCCAAACACUAGGUUC